GCCAAUCCAUCAUGAGACCCCACCUCCCUGUCCUCCAGCGAGACUUCAGGCCACGGAGGGCCAGGUCCUGCUGCACAUCGUGGGAAGGAAUCUAUUCCCUAGCAGAAGAAAGAGGCAAUGCAGCAAAGUGGUGCAGAACACAGGAGCUGGAGCCAUUCAGACCCAAGUCCAACUCUUGACCUCGCCCACUUUCUCUACAGUCCUGAGCAAUUACACCUGCCAAGCACCUUCCCAAUGGACAGACUGGCAGGCCCUACUCCCAACAGGCAUCCAGACUGAGCAUCACCAAGGAUGGGACAAACAGAAGCAAUGCAAGAGGAAAUGCGAACACGAACAUGCACCACUACACCACAACCUAUGGAAACAAUCAGGCAAAACAAGACUAGGAGACAUAUGACAAGAAAACAGGCCUGGACGCUUCAAAAAUGCCAAUGUCACGAAAGACAAAAACUGGGCAUGCUCUUCUGGAUCAAAGGAGACUAAAGAGAUAUAACAACCAAACACAAUAAAACUAUCCUAGAUUACAUCCUGGAUUUUUUAAAAGCAAAAAAGAACAAUUUGGUAACAACUGGGGAAAGUGUUAAUAUGGCUACAUUUUAAAUAACAUUAUUGUACCAAUGUUUAAUAUCUUGUUCUAUAUAGAUACAAAGGUUAAGUAGUCAGAGAUGAAGUGUCAAUUAUCUGCAACUUAAACAGCUGGCUUUUAAGAAAAAGUGUGUUGCAGAAAAAAGCAUAAAUGUGGCAAAACAUUCACAAUUAGUGAAUCUGGGUGAGAGAGAUGCAGUUGUUCAUUUUCUUAUUCCUUUGGCUAGUCUGUAGGUUUGGAAUUUUUUUUUUUCAAAGUAUAAAGUUGAGAUAAGAAAAAUGAAACUUUCCAACCUUAAUUUCAACACUGUGGAAUGAGGAUAAGACAUACCUCACAGGGUUACAGGGUUACACAGGAAGUUACAUGAAAUAACGUAUACAAAGUGCUCAACCCAGUGCCUGCACACAGUCAGCAUACUGAAGACGUCAUUCACAUACUACACUGCAAACCCUUUCAGCACACAGUGGCAUCACACCUCCCUGCCCUCUGAGUUAAGCCAAGGCCAUGUAGCUGGCUCUGGCCAAGGAAAUAGAGGUGGAAGUAGUGUUAGUUUCAGGCAAGACCUUUAAGAACCACUACGCAAUUCACCACAAUCCCUUCCAGAGUGAACACACUGAAAUGGAGCCUUCCACAGCCUGGGUCCCUAUGUGACCUCCCCACUCUGCUGACCCAAGCUGGACAUAUAGUACAAACAACAUAUCCUUUUUCUUCUUGUAUUAAGCCACUACACUUUUGGAGUUGUUUGUUACCACUGAGCAUAUCCUCGCCCAUGCAGACCAACAUAACUCCCAUGUAAGAUAAAGUGCGGAAAGGAGACCAUUACACGUGAUAAAGCAUGACUCCACAACAGCUGGAUGCAAGCCCUGGGCAAGUUCCUUAAUCUUCUAGACCUCAGCUUCCUCAUGCUAAUCAUCAAUCAAGAUCCUAACAGUACCGAACUCAUAAGGCUAAUGUAAGAACUGAAUGAAUUACUGAUUUUUGAAAAAUACUUAGAACCAGGAAGAGACCAACACCAGACUUUGAAAGUUGAUACUGGCAUAGCCAGAGACUUGACGAUGGAUAUAGAAUCACCAAGGCAAGAGCCUAGUACACAGUAUACCCUCAAUAUGUCAGCUACUCUCAUCCAGCUAUGUAACCAUGAAGCAUAUUUUAAAAUAGAAAAGGGAAGGUAAGAAGGAAGCAUGGUUAAAAUGGUUACUUUCUAAAAUAUUAAAACUGGUCAGAUUUAGGA
rnacentral:lncRNA from 1 species